rnacentral:misc_RNA from 1 species
GCAUGAUGCACCCCAAGAUGGAUUGUUUUCUUUGUCCCACUACCAAUAAUGACACCCUCUGUUUCUUUGCCUCUUGCACUAUUGCAACACCCUUUUCCUCUCCUUCAAGCAUCACCACAUUCACUACCACCUGAAAAACCCAUCAACUCACCAAGUGUUACUUCGUGUCCUACAUAGAUGCAUAUAUGUCCAAUUCACCAUAAAAACAAUAACAUUCCUCCAAACUUACC